UAUGUGAUCGUCUCUCGCAUAUCAAUAAGCGGAGGAAAAGAAACUAGCAAGGAUUCCCCUAGUAACGGCGAGUGAAGCGGGAAGAGCUCAAAUUUGAAAUCUUAAAGGGUUUCCCUUUACGAAUUGUAGUUUAAAGAAGUGUUUUCUGUUGAGGUUUUGGUAAAAGUUCUUUGGAAUAGGACAUCAUAGAGGGUGAGAAUCCCGUAUUUGACCUUUACUUUCAACUUUGUGAUACACUUUCAAAGAGUCGGAUUGUUUGGGAAUGCAGUCCAAAAUGGGUGGUAAAUUCCAUCUAAAGCUAAAUAUUGGCGAGAGACCGAUAGCGAACAAGUACCGUGAGGGAAAGAUGAAAAGAACUUUGAAAAGAGAGUUAAACAGUACGUGAAAUUGUCAAAAGGGAAGCGUUUGACACCAGUGUUGUUUUUCUGAAAAUCAAUUAAAGAACUGUUUAUGCUAAGUUGUUUAGACUUUAUCAGCUAUCUGUUUAGUUUUGAGCUUUUCUUUAAUGCACUUUUCAGUUAACAAGUCAACAUCAAUUUCUUUUGCUGUAAAAAAGCUUGAGGAAGGUGGCUUGAGAUUCGUCUUAAGUGUUUAUAGCCUCUUGCCUAUGCAGUCGGAGAGAUUGAGGUCUGCAGCGUAGAUCCUUCGGGGCUAAAUGCAUUUGUGCUAAGUUAUAGCAUUUUAUAGACAACUUGUUGACUAUGAUUUGUCUUGUAGCUUACUCGCUUAUGUUAUUUUACCUACGCUUAGGAUGUUGAUCUACAGAGCGAGAGU
rnacentral:rRNA from 1 species